rfam:Brachyspira sp. CAG:484 genomic scaffold, scf52
UAAAGCAGCCGGAUAAUCGCGCAUGAAAAUGUGAGGAAAGUCCGUGCAUCCAAGGACAGGCCGCCGGAGAAACUCCGGGCAGCGUGAGCUGGCGGAUAGGACCACAGAAAAAAUACUGCUAACGGCUUUUAUAAAGUACGAGCGAUGGUGCAACGGUGAGGUAAGAGCAUCACCGGCGGUAUUGAGAAAUACCGGCCAGGCAACCCCCGGCAGGAUGCAAGAUUGAAUUGAAGGUUUAAAGGCUGUCCGCCUACUUCUAAAAAAUCGCUUGAGAUUGGGAGUAAUCCUGAUACCAGACAGAUGAUUAUCUAAAACAGAACACGGCUUACGGGCUGCUUUAUUUU